AAGACUAUAGACCUGCGGAGUACCUGCGGAAGGAUCAUUAAUGAAUUUAAACGAUGAGGUUGUCGCUGACCCCUUGCGGGUAUGUGCACGCCUUGUCAAUUCAUCCAUAUACCUCUGUGCACUCUUCAUAGGUUGGCUCAUAUGGUGUUGCUUUUCAGUAGCUCCGAGUCUCUCUAUGUAUUUUAUUACAAACAUUAUAAAGUCUAAGAAUGUCAUUAGCGUCUAACGCAUUUAAAUACA
rnacentral:misc_RNA from 1 species